rnacentral:piRNA from 1 species
UGGUUGAUACAUCUGAGAAGGCUGGGA